UGGGGAAUAUUGGACAAUGGGCGAAAGCCUGAUCCAGCCAUGCCGCGUGAGUGAUGAAGGCCUUAGGGUUGUAAAGCUCUUUUAGCAGGGAAGAUAAUGACGGUACCUGCAGAAAAAGCCCCGGCUAACUUCGUGCCAGCAGCCGCGGUAAUACGAAGGGGGCUAGCGUUGCUCGGAAUUACUGGGCGGAAAGCGCACGUAGGCGGACUCUUAAGUCGGUGGUGAAAUCCUGGAGCUCAACUCCAGAACUGCCUUCGAUACUGGGAGUCUUGAGUUCGGGAGAGGUGAGUGGAACUGCGAAUGUAGAGGUGAAAUUCGUAGAUAUUCGCAAGAACACCAGUGGCGAAGGCGGCUCACUGACCCGAUACUGACGCUGAGGUGCGAAAGCGUGGGGAGCAAACA
rnacentral:rRNA from 1 species